UUUGUCUUUUGUUUCGGAAAUCCCUGCUAUGUGCUUGUCACAGGAGAGGCGCUCAACAAAUGUCAGCUGAAUGAAUCAAUAGAACCCACAGAAGUUCAAACAUCACAUUCAAGUAACAAGGUGUUUAGCUGGGCACAUGGCCACUCAAAAUGAAGACUUCAUUCUUGGCCUGCCUUGCGGGAAGAUAUGGCCAUGUGACUGAGAUCUGGCCUAUGGAAUGUGAAUAGAAAUAUAUUGCACCUCCCCCUUUCUUCUUCGUCUGUUCAUUUUAUCCAGUUUCUUGGAACUUGGAUCGGCUGCUGAAACUCCAUCUCAUAUUAUGAGGGGAAAGGCCAUAGUCCACUAGAGUUACUGGUAUAGGAAGCUGGAAAAAGCCUGUGCCCCCGAGGAAUUUUUUGAGCAAUGCUAUCAUGUCACUCCUGGAUUGACUGCCUACAAGACAUUUUUAAAUGUGAGAUAAAUAAACCUUCAUAUUUUUAAUCAACUAUUUUUUUUCUUCUUUUACUUGAAGCAGUAUUUUAUUCUAACUAAAACAAAUUAAGAACUAAAAUUUAGUAAACCUAAGGUAUUUCAUUGCAUCAAAAAACUUAUGAAAUAAUUUAACACUGUAAUUAUCGAACAUAAAUAGAUAAGCUAACAAAAGGAUAUGUAGGAUGACAAAAUGAACUCAUCCAACAGUUUCAAAAAUCAUGUUAGUCUUUAAUUUUUUAAAUUUGAACUAUGCUAUACAUAGAAUAUAAUACACAUAAUUGCACAUGUACAAUUUUUAAAAAUUAGGAUGAAAUGAGCACC
rnacentral:lncRNA from 1 species